CCUACGGGGUGCAGCAGUGAGGAAUAUUGGUCAAUGGGCGUAAGCCUGAACCAGCCAAGUCGCGUGAGGGAUGAAGGUUCUAUGGAUCGUAAACCUCUUUUAUAAGGGAAUAAAGUGUGGGACGUGUCCUAUUGUGUAUGUACCUUAUGAAUAAGGAGCGGCUAACUCCGUGUCAGCAGACGCGGUAAUACGGAGGAUCCGAGCGUUAUCCGGAUUUAUUGGGUUUAAAGGGUGCGUAGGCGGCCUGUUAAGUUCGCGGUGAAAGUCUGUGGCUCAACCAUAGAAUUGCCGUUGAAACUGGGGGGCUUGAGUAUGUUUGAGGCAGGCGGAAUGCGUGGUGUAGCGGUGAAAUGCUUAGAUAUCACGCAGAACCCCGAUUGCGAAGGCAGCCUGCCAAGCCAUGACUGACGCUGAUGCACGAAAGCGUGGGGAUCAAACAGGAUUAGAUACCCUAGUAGUC
rnacentral:rRNA from 1 species